rnacentral:lncRNA from 1 species
ACUGAGACUUCCGCUUCACCUCGCUAUCUUGCCCUAGAAAGGGAACUCGGAGGGGACUCACUGACGAAAGGAGCUCCAGAUGGCGGGGGGCCAACCUGGGGCGACCCCCAGCGCCCACUUUCACCAUCUGGACCCCAGCAAACCUCCCUGUGGCCCUUGGUCCCGUCUUCAGCAGCUCCUUCUGGGGUCCCACACCUUCGGAGCCCGGCCCUGCCCCUGAGUCUCUGGAGAGAGCGAGUCAGCAGUUCGCCGCCGCGGGGCUCCCGUUUGCCUAGCACGCCAGUUUCUGUCCAGUUUCACCCCAAAUCCCCACCUCCCCCCACCCCCGAACCUCACGGCCACCCUGGGAAGGAGGCUUGACUUGUGACAUCCACCCCUCUUCACGGCUGAGGAACUUUGGCCCCGAGCGAGGAAGCGACCGGCCCACGGCCACACGCCCGGAGUGGGUAAAUAUCUACUCAUGGGAUUGCUGGGCUGUAUGGGGGCAGCAUCUUCUACUAUGUGCAUCUACAUUGGAUGGCAGUGGAGCAACACAGAUUGUUUUCUGACAAAAAUCAGCCAAGUACUAGGAGAGGCAGGACUUUAGAAGUGGAGGAGAUGGAGAAGGAAGCUUAGGUUACUAUGGAGUGUGCAAAAAGGUCCUGUGGAUUUAGAUACCACCACACACAAAUGCUGUUGUUGGAAGGUACCUGCCCAGAUAAGGACUGCAUUUCCUCUAGCAUCCAGAUGGGACCAAAUGACUGCUGGCCAAUAGAAGUGAGUGGAAAGGACUGACUCCAGUUCCAGGUUGGGCCUCCAACUGCUCUGGGCACGUCGAUGGAACAGAACACCACCUCCACCCCAAUACCACCAAUUCAACUUUACAUGAAUUAUAAGCGAGAAAUAACUUGGACUGUGUUAAGUCAUUGAGUUUCUGGGGUUUAACUGUUAUUAUAGUUAAGAAUGACUUUAACUAAUAUAGUCAAUGACAUCUAA